GCACUAUGAUAAAAAGGGGAAAUUAAAUUCUUUGAAAACAACAGCCAGCCAUUUAACUAAAUUAAAACUAUUCACUCAGCAAUCCUAUUUCCUUCUGAAAAUUUUCUUGAAUCUCCAAUUUUAACAAAUGGAUUAUAUAAUUUCUUCAUACCUCUUGCUAAGAUGCUACACUUUCUUCCAUUUUCUUAGAGAGUACAAUUUAUCUAAAAUUUCAUAUAGAAACUUAAACAGAGAAAACUAAUAAUAAUAAUAUCAGGAAUGAAAAGUCUGGGGAGGAAAAAUCAAGUAGUUGAAGAAGAAAAACUAGGAGAAGCUAUGCCCUUCUUCACCCUUUCCCACCACCACCAGUUAUGCACUCUCUUUGACCCACCACAACCACCACCACCACCACUGUUUACACUCACAGCAGCUUCAUUUCUCUUUUUAAACUUGAGCCUUUUCAAUUGAAAACAACCCAUCAAACCUACCUUUUCAUUCUCUAAAUUUUCUUUCUUGAGCAGCUGCUGAUAAUACUCGUUGUUCCUCUUCUCCAACCCAUAUAUCUGGCCCUGAAGAUCCUCAAUUUUACGAGUAAGCAUCCACACCCUGUGAUCUUCUCUCAUUUUCAACACACACCUUGCAAGUUGAGCAGCUUUUCUCUUCAAGAACAAGGCCUCCGAUGAGAGCCCUUUAUUCUCUUCUAUCAGUGCAGCCAUCUUACACCCCAAACUCGCAUUCUCGUUCAGUAAAUAGAUCCUUUCAGACUCUAGCACCUCCAGUAGUUUCUUCAGAAGCUCUACCUUUCUCCAUGAUUCUUGGCAUUCCUGCUCUAAUAUAUCCUCCUCCACGCUCUUCAUUACCAUAUGGGCUACAAUCUCAUCAACUCCAAAUUUGGCUUCUGAUGAUUGUACAACGCCUUGAGUUUGAUACUGAUACAGGAUUUUCCCAACAUCAUGAUCAACAUCCUCUUCUUCUUUUUCAUCAAAACUGGUGUCUGCAGACGUUAGAGAAGAAGAGCAUCGCCGCUGAUGCUUGUUGCCUUGCAUCUUGUUGCAACGGUCAAGCAAGCUGAUGUAGCCAUUGUACAAGUCUUGGAGAAGAGCAAGAAGUUGAGGACGUCUCCGGAAAAACCAUUCAGCACGCUCUGAGAAGCUGUCGCCAGCGGCGGCGGCCGCUUGCUCUGUUUCAAGAAACGUUUUAAUUCGGUGGUGGAGGUCUGCCAUUACAUUAGGCAACAAGAGAGAAAAAGAAUUUAUUGUCGGUUGAAAUGAUGAUAUGUAUAUCGACAUAUAUAGGUAGCAUUUAAUUGAGCAUAUUAAGCCAAUGGAGCCUCACGUCACCCCCUCAGGUCUUCAGCAUUCA
rnacentral:misc_RNA from 1 species